AUACAGCUAGCGUAUUCUUGGUUCUUGUAAUGGCAGCGCCUGGAAAUGCGUGUGCGAUACCAAUAGGAAAGACAUGCUCUGCGAUCGAGAUGUUGGCGAGUGUGCUGGCGUUUCUUGUCAAGCUCUUGCAUUGACCCAAUCGAAGGCUUUUGCUGUGAAUGUCCACUGGAGUGGGCAGGCGUGGUAUGUCAAAUGCUUGAGAUGAAUACGAGAUCCACUACGCGACAACCAGCAAUAAUAAUGACGCUGAAAUGUCAUAGCCGGAGGACCGACAGAAAAUUGCACAGACUUCCACUUGUAAUUUAAUUAAUUUAUUUUUAUUGCAUAGUUUGCAAAUAAAUUUGGAAAGUAUGAUUUCAUUUAAUUCAUAU